GGGCAUGUGGUGUAAUGGGUAGCACGUUCCGGUUAGUUCUGGAAAGGUCUCGGUUCGAAUCCGGCAUGCCAA
rnacentral:tRNA from 1 species